rnacentral:lncRNA from 1 species
GGCCGAAUUCCAUGUUUGCACCCUCGACAGGGUUGUCGCUAUAAACAAGAAUAUGGUGUCCAUCUCUAAGGAAAUGAAGAAGGAACACCAGAGGGUUUUCACUCCAUCAGCCAUUGAACCAUCUUUUGGUAUUGGGAGGAUAAUAUACUGCCUCUAUGAGCAUUCUUUCAACACAAGACCUAGCAGAAUAUGGUGUCCAUCUCUAAGGAAAUGAAGAAGGAACACCAGAGGGUUUUCACUCUUUCAGCCAUUGAACCAUCUUUUGGUACUGGGAGGAUAAUAUACUGCCUCUAUGAGCAUUCUUUCAACACAAGACCUAGCAGAGAUGGUGAUGAACCAAUGAAUUUUUUCAGCUUCCCUCCUAUUGUAGCUCCUAUAAAAUGCACUGUGUUCCCAUUGGUUCAGAAUCAACAAUAUGAGGAAGUUGCCAGACAAAUUACUAGGUCGCUGACUGCCUAUGGGAUCUCGUAUAAGAUCGAUAUAACAGGUAAGCUCGGCCUUGAGAGUUAUUCUAAGCACUAGCUUUGGCCACAAUAAUGUUAAGUCCUGAGUAAGUCACAUUUUUUCUCUCUAAUUCCCCUUAAAAGCUACCCGGAUCAAGGAUGUUUUAAUAUUUAUUUCCAUCUCUUUCAUAAUCAUUAUAUCUCGCCCGUAUACUCAUUUUACCACUUCUGGAGUAAAUAAGUUGAACUUUAAGCUGCUUGCUAAUUAUUUUUGUGAGAAAGCACGGGAGAAGAAUAUAACUGAGAUUAAACAUAAUACAAUGAGCCC